AGUACCUAGAGCAACGUUUUUCCCGUGGUGUCAGGACUGCAGCCUCGCUGGUCUUUGUACUACAGUCUAUCCUAUACAUGGCCAUAGUCUUAUAUGCACCAAGUCUAGCACUAAAUGCAGUGACUGGUUUUACAUUGUGGGGUUCUGUUGUGGCUAUUGGUUCCAUUGCUACACUGUAUACCGCAUUCGUAAGUUAUUUUUUGAAAAAAAGAUUAAUUAAUUUGUUUAAAUUAUAACAAAGAUAAUCUUGUUAGAUGCACAAUUCUAGCACGACAAA
rnacentral:sRNA from 1 species